rnacentral:rRNA from 1 species
UACGUAGGCAGCGAGCGUUGUUCGGAGUUACUGGGCGUAAAGAGUGCGUAGGCGGUUUUCUAAGUUUGGUGUGAAAUCUCCCGGCUCAACUGGGAGGGUGCGCCGAAGACUGGAAGGCUUGAGUAUGGGAGAGGUAAGCGGAAUUCCUGGUGUAGCGGUGAAAUGCGUAGAUAUCAGGAGGAACACCUGCGGUGUAGACGGCUUACUGGACCAUAACUGCGCUGAGGCACGAAAGCGUGGGUAGCAAACAGG